AGCAACGUCGCGGUGAAUGCGUUCCCGGGCCUUGUACACACCGCNNNUCAAGUCAUGAAAGUGGGCAGCACCCGAAGCCGGUGGCCNNACCCNCACGGGAGGGAGCCGUCUAAGGUGGAGGCG
rnacentral:rRNA from 1 species